GCGCUCGCUUCAACAGCACAUAUACUAAAAUUGGAAUGAUAUAGAGAUUAGCAUGGCCCCUGCACAAGGAUGACAUGCAAAUUCGUGAAGCCUUUCCAUAUUUA